rnacentral:rRNA from 1 species
CCUACGGGAGGCAGCAGUGAGGAAUAUUGGUCAAUGGGCGUAAGCCUGAACCAGCCAAGCCGCGUGAGGGAUGAAGGUUCUAUGGAUCGUAAACCCCUUUUAUAAGGGAAUAAAGUGUGGGACGUGUCCUGUUUUGUAUGUACCUUAUGAAUAAGGAUCGGCAAACUCCGUGCCAGCAGCCGCGGUAAUACGGAGGAUCCGAGCGUUAUCCGGAUUUAUUGGGUUUAAAGGGAGCGUAGGCGGCCUUUUAAGUCAGUGGUGAAAGUCUCUGGCUCAACCCGGGAAUUGCCGUUGAAACUGGGAGGCUUGAGUAUGGUUGAGGCGGGCAGAAUGCGAGGUGUAGCGGUGAAAUGCGUAGAGAUCACGCAGAACCCCGAUUGCGAAGGCAGCCUGCCAGGCCAUGACUGACGCUGAGGCACGAAAGCGUGGGGAGCAAACAGGAUUAGAUACCCCAGUAGUC